rnacentral:rRNA from 1 species
UACGAAGGGGGCUAGCGUUGUUCGGAAUUACUGGGCGUAAAGCGCACGUAGGCGGCUUUCUAAGUCAGGGGUGAAAUCCUGGAGCUCAACUCCAGAACUGCCUUUGAUACUGGAGAGCUUGAGUCCGGGAGAGGUGAGUGGAACUCCGAGUGUAGAGGUGAAAUUCGUAGAUAUUCGGAAGAACACCAGUGGCGAAGGCGGCUCACUGGCCCGGUACUGACGCUGAUGUGCGAAAGCGUGGGGAGCAAACAGG